AGCAUCAAAUAGAGCGAAACAACAGGAAAACUAAGCCAAAGCCAAAGCCAAGCCAACCUGUUCCCGUUCCGUUCCUCCCACCCCCGCUCAACCCGCCUCCCUCCCCGCGCCUCCGCCCGUCCCCAUGGCGGCCACCCCGCCGUCGUCGCGGGACCCGUCGCCGCAGCCCCGCCGGCCGGCCGCCGCCGCGGGCCGGCCCGCCGCCAGCGGCACCGGCACCAUAGGCAACGGCAAGCGCGGCGGGCUCCUGCUCGGCCGCUACGAGCUGGGCCGCGUCCUCGGCCACGGCACCUUCGCCAAGGUCUACCACGCCCGCCACGCCGACACGGGCGAGACGGUCGCCAUCAAGGUGCUCGACAAGGAGAAGGCGCUGCGGGCGGGCCUCGUCCCGCACAUCAAGCGCGAGAUCACCAUCCUCCGCCGCGUCCGCCACCCCAACAUCGUGCGCCUCUUCGAGGUCAUGGCCACCAAGUCCAAGAUCUACUUCGUCAUGGAGUUCGUCCGCGGCGGCGAGCUCUUCGCGCGCGUCGCCAAGGGCCGCCUCAAGGAGGACACCGCGCGCCGCUACUUCCAGCAGCUCAUCUCCGCCGUCGGCUUCUGCCACGCGCGCGGCGUCUUCCACCGCGACCUCAAGCCCGAGAACCUCCUCGUCGACGAGCGCGGGGACCUCAAGGUCUCCGACUUCGGCCUCUCCGCCGUCGCCGACCAGUUCCACCCCGACGGCCUCCUCCACACCUUCUGCGGCACCCCCUCCUACGUCGCGCCGGAGAUGCUCGCGCGCCGCGGAUACGACGGCGCCAAGGCUGACAUAUGGUCCUGCGGCGUCAUCCUCUUCGUCCUCAUGGCCGGCUACCUCCCUUUCCAUGACCAGAACCUCAUGGCCAUGUACCGCAAGAUUUACAGAGGGGAGUUCCGAUGUCCGAGAUGGUUCUCCAGAGAUCUCACCAGCCUAUUGAAUCGGCUUCUUGACACCAACCCGGAGACAAGGAUCACCAUGGCGGAAGUCAUGCAGAGCAGGUGGUUUCAGAAGGGAUUUCGGCCCGUCAGGUUCUAUGUUGAAGACGAUCAGCUGCACAGCUUAGGGGACAGUGAGAGUGAGGAGCUGGGGCUGGUCGAACCUACGGAGCCUCCUCCUCCUCCUCCACUUCCGCCGCCGCUGCCGCCACCACCGCAGCAAGAGGAUGAUGACUCAGGGUGGGAGUCGGAUUCCUCUGUCGCAUCCUGCCCUGCCACGCUGUCGUCCGAGGAGCGGCAACGGCCUGCCGGGCGUCUCACACGGCCAGCAAGCCUCAACGCUUUCGAUAUCAUAUCCUUCUCCAAGGGAUUUGAUCUAUCAGGGCUGUUCGAGGAGCGAGGGAGCGAAGUGAGAUUCAUCUCGGCACAACCCAUGGAAACCAUUGUUACAAAAUUGGAGGAGAUUGCCAAGAUGAAGAGCUUCUCCAUUCGCCGCAAGGACUGGCGCGUAAGCAUAGAAGGCACCAGGGAAGGGGAGAAGGGGCCAUUGACGAUUGGGGCUGAGAUAUUUGAGCUUACACCAAGCCUCUUGGUGUUGGAGGUGAAGAAGAAGGCAGGGGAUAAGGCAGAGUAUGAUGACUUCUGCAACAAAGAGUUGAAACCUGGGAUGGAGCCUCUCGUGCACCACCAAUCUGGUUCGGCUCGAAAUGUACCUUCUGAUACUGAGUAGUUCUAAAGAAACCGACCAGAAGCGAAGGGCUGCGAACAAUUCAAUUCCUGUUCCUGCAAAGUCACAAACAUAUUGCUAUUCAGAAAGAGGUGCGGUAAGUUGCUUGUAUAUUCUAAUAAUCGUCUAUUAGUUCCAAAUCUGUUGGUCCAGAAAAAGGAAAGACAAACUGAAGCUUAGUGCCUAUUGUUUUUUGCUGCAAGCAUUGCAAAUGAAGAGGACCAAUGGUUCUGUGCUCCUGUAUAGUCGUGUAUGCGAGAAUGGAGGAGGUGCGAGAAGCACCUUCCAACACUGGAGUAAUAGGAGCUCAAUCAUGCCAGUAACUGUGAUGAUGAAUCAUAGCUGAAUAAAAAAAAGGUGCAGCCCGGUGCAUGUAGCUCCCGCUUGCGCAGGGUCCGAGGAAGGGUCCGACCACUUUGGGUCUAUUGUAUGCAACAUUUCCCUACAUUUUCUGUAAGAGGCUGUUGCUAGGGAAUGGUAGCUGAAAUGCAGUGAAAGAAAAAAGAAUGGCAUGCUUAAUUUAUGAUCUUCUAUUAUGGAUGUGUUCUUAUCCAGUUUUGAAGAUGUACAUACCGGCAAACUGAUCGCGUGGAUACCUACUAUACCGCCGGUUCUUGUUUAUUAAUUCACUCCAUCAAAUAAAUUUACAAGUAUUCCCGCAAAAAAAAUAUUUACAAGUAGAUUGAUUGGGAAAUUGCAAUGUGGCGUGAAGGAGGGGAAAUGCUUCAAAAAUACCAAUGUUGUGCAUAACAGAAUGCGCAUAAGGUUGUC